UAAUACGUAGGUGGCAAGCGUUGUCCGGAAUUAUUGGGCGUAAAGCGCGCGCAGGCGGCCUCUUAAGUCUGAUGUGAAAGCCCCCGGCUCAACCGGGGAGGGCCAUUGGAAACUGGGAGGCUUGAGUAUAGGAGAGAAGAGUGGAAUUCCACGUGUAGCGGUGAAAUGCGUAGAGAUGUGGAGGAACACCAGUGGCGAAGGCGACUCUUUGGCCUAUAACUGACGCUGAGGCGCGAAAGCGUGGGGAGCAAACAGGAUUAGAUACCCUGGUAGUCCACGCCGUAAACGAUGAGUGCUAGGUGUUGGAGGGUUUCCGCCCUUCAGUGCUGAAGCUAACGCAUUAAGCACUCCGCCUGGGGAGUACGGUCGCAAGGCUGAAACUCAAAUGAAUUGACGG
rnacentral:rRNA from 1 species